rnacentral:lncRNA from 1 species
UAAACAGGUUCAAGAUGAGCAGCAAGACUCCCUAAGUCUCCCAUGUUUCAAAGGAAGACAGAAGCAAUACCCAGACCUUGAACUAUCCAUAUCCUUAAAAUGUGGAAUCAACAGAAUUGUUUCUGAAGGCUCUGCCUCUGGACAUCAGAAGAGUCAGAUGACAUGUCACCGGAAAAAGUGUGUACAGCAUGAAGGCACAUGGAAGAAAAUUCCAUCCAGGAGGAAUGACUUCACAGGCUGUAAAAUAUUGCUUCUGCCCUGGCAACAAUUUUUAAUAAAGCUGGAUGUUUUUAGCAGCUAAAGUCAAAUUUGUCUUUAGCAUCCUCCCCAUUUUAGAAACAGGACUGAAUAAACAAUUCCUGUCACACAAGAAAACUCUCUUGCUCAUUGGAAUUGGUGGGCUCUUCGGCACCCUUCCUUGGACAGAUGGACACUGGCUGGCUGUACCUGGGACAUUUGCUCACCUCUUCCUAUGGCUGACAAUCAUCUGGACCACACCAACACCAGUGGCUCCAAUCAGUGAGACAGAUCCUCAAACACUUGUAUAUCACAGGCUGUUUUUCCAUGGUGUUAUAACACUGCAUCCAUACCGCAUAGGUAGAGUUAGAGCAUCACUGAGAGAAGCCUGGACAUGUCCUUAGUAUCCAUCAGGGCUGCAAACAUCCCCUGUACUGAUGCCCAAGAAACCAUAUGUCAGAAUAGAUAACAAAACUUAAACUGAUGCGCCCCAAACUCUUUGAAUCCUUCACACCUCCUGUGAAGGUGUGAAGAAAAGCCUUUUCUCUUGCUCAGUUGACUUUUUAUAAAAAGUUCCCUGCUGUUUAAUCUCAACUAACAGUGUUGCAGUUUAAAUCAGUCAGCAUCAAUCUGUUGUGACCCUUCAGAUCAAUUACUUCUCUUCCAGCUCAGACCAUUCUUGCGAAUUAUUACCACCUCCUAAAAAUAUGGCUGUGAGGUUGCAAAGUGUCAGUUCUCCUUAGAAAGAUGAUUUAUUAAAUAAGUGGAGAAACAAGAUUUGGACUAUUUUUAGUCUUCUUUCUAUGAUGCUAUACAAAGAUUUUCUCACCGUGUUUUCCUGUUCAGCUAUGCUGGCUCUGACUUUUCACACAGUGGAAGAGGCAUCCACAGCAGUGCUCUCAUAGGGCUCUAUGCAGCGUCUUUCAAUGUUCGGUUUUGU